UACGUAGGGACCGAGCGUUGUCCGGAAUCAUUGGGCGUAAAGAGCGUGUAGGCGGCCUUUUAAGUCCUGCGUGAAAUCCUGCGGCUCAACCGCAGACGGUCGUGGGAAACUGGAAGGCUAGAGUGCGGGAGAGGAGAGUGGAAUUCCCGGUGUAGCGGUGAAAUGCGCAGAUAUCGGGAGGAACACCGGUGGCGAAGGCGGUUCUCUGGGCCUGUGCUGACGCUGAGGAGCGAAAGUGUGGGGAGCGAACAGG
rnacentral:rRNA from 1 species